GACAAAGCGGGUCGCUGGCAAUACUUCCGACACAAUACUCUACAACUGGGAAAUGAGAAAUCUAGAAACGCUUUUGAAGGAAAGGGUGGUGGAGUGGGCCCGUUAACUCAACAUGUGUCCCGAUUUGGUAUCAAAUGCUCUCCUUCCGUGUCCAUUCUACUCUCCCCGGUCUUACGUGCUCAGUUAACGGUGGGGGCUCCCAAACACAGCAUCCGACUGUCAAGAAGCGGAACCGAACUCUCCAGAAAAGUACAGUCUACACACGGGAACGUGUACGGGAGAAGAAGUGGGUAACAGUGGGAGACACAUCCCUACGAAUAUUCAAGUGGGUGCCUGUGACAGACACUAAACAGAUAUACCGGAGCAAAUCCAUAACUGGAGAGGUUCGAGGUCUAAAAGAUGUGGUGUUGGAAAACACCAGCUCUACCUUGGAUUUCCAAGAUGAAUGCAGCAACCAGAGUUUCCUGUCUGAUAUCUACCAGCCCAAAAUGGACAGCAGCAGCUCCAGCUCCCAGCAUGCCAGUGAGGCAGUCAGUCCUCUUCCCCACACCACAACCCUCCGCACGACCGAAGACGCUCAACCACCCAUGCUGGGCCAGGAGAGUGUGGACGGUACAGUUGGCCUAGCAUACUACACCAUCACACAGCACCCAUGUAGGGCGAGGAGCUUUUCCAGACCGUGUAACCUGACUAGGAAAAACUCUGGGCCCAAGCUAUUAUGUCACUCAUGUAACUGAGAACCGUCCCAGCCAGCACAUGAAGUUGCUGAUGAGCCUCCAACAUUGAUCAAAGAGGACCUGGUUUUGCCCCUUGGUGUCCGAGUAAAAGAUCCAUGCACAGAGGAAGAAGAGGGAUCAGGAGCCCCUCCACUGAAGAAAGUUUGCACUGAAAAAAAGGCUGUACUGAGAUAACUAGUUGAUUGGAUGGACAUACAUGCAACCCAUGCACUAGCUUUAUUGAAGGCUUCAAAUGGGACAUAAGAAUAACUGCCAAAAUAAUAGAAACACUUGAGUAAAUGAGGGAUACAAAGUAUAUUGAAAGCAGGUGCUUCCAUACAGGUGUGGUUCCUGAGUUAAUUAAGCAAUUAACAUCCCAUCAUGCUUAGGGUCAUGUAUAAGAAUGCUGGGGCAGGCCAUUAUUAUGGCUACCAUGGAAAUGCCCCCUUAGUACUGUAUGAGAACACCAAAUGAUGCAAUUUCUUGUGGCAGAAUGGUGUUGCCGCCCUCCAAUAGAGUUCCAGACACUUGUGGAAUCUGUGCCAAGGUGCAUUGAAGCUGUUCUGGCUCGUGGUGGCCCAACGCCCUAUUAAGACACUUUAUGUUGGUGUUUACUUCAUUUUGGCAGUUAUUUGUAAAUAGAUUAUUAUAAAAUAUGCCUUUCUGUUGAUCAAGUUAUUACAAAUGGAAUACAUUUAAAAAGAACGUUGAAGUUAUUGUUUUUUUAAAAUACUAAUUUACUUUCUCAGCUUUGAAAAGGAAUCUUAAGCCGUUUAAUGCGUUACACUGUACAUAAAGUCGUGCUCACAGAAAGUGCCUAUCGCUCUGAAAUAUACACUAUUUAUUUUCUGUCAGGCAAGUGUCUCAUAUUAUGCUAUUUGUAUAAAUUGCACAGAUAUAAAUAAUUAUGGCCCCUAUUCAAUCAAAUCAGUUUGUUAAUCCUGAGGGAUGAAGUGGAGCACAUCUUAAUUCAUGUUCGGUUGAGUUUCUUUUGUUUCACACUGUUAGCGCUGUUUUGUUAAAUACAUUUAUCCAAGCAGCACAAGAAGUAUGAGGGGAAACUUAUUCCGGUCACUGGAUUUGAUUGAAUAUUGGCUGAAGUUUUUUUAAAUCAUUUUUUACAUUUGUACUUUGCUUUGCAAAUCAGAUUAGAAAACUGUUUGUCAUGUCUAUCAUUUUUGAUAUACUGUAUCUUGCUUGUUCAAUUUUCAUAGGGCAUUGAAAGUGAAUGGUGAACGAGGUUGAAAGGUAGUUCAAGACCUUGGUGUAAAUACACUUGUAUUGUAAUUCAGAGAAUGUUUCUUAUGGUCAGGUGGGUCAUGCUCUCAAGUGCUUAUUUUUGUGCUGUAAAAGUGAUGCACAUGCUGGAAUAUACGCUGCUCCAUAGCAAAAUCCGGUUGUAGAUAUUGUGUUUUCUGUUUGCAGUGUUUUGCAUCUUUUGACUCCCAUACUCUCAAAUAAUUGGGCAAAAUAUUUUUCACUAUAUUGGAUGACCACUUGACCUGGUUGCAUGUUAUCAACACUGUUUCAUGGAAAUUAUUGGAUUGCAAAUCCAUGGCCUUGAGCCCUCAAUCUAUACAUAGAAGGCUUGGGCUGUGACUGACCAUAAGUCUCCAGACUUAGCACUGUGGGUUUUUAACAAGUCCAUGAAAUAAACUCCUGGCACCUGAUAGACAUGAUAUAAUUAUUCUUGGUUGAAUGUUAAAAUCCAUGGGAAGUAAGUAACUCCUAUCACUGUAGGAAAUUUAAUUUCAUUAUAAAUUCUUGUGAAAAUGUGAUUUUAGUGUUUUCGUUAUUUGUAAAGAAUACUAUUUUCCUGUCGUACUAAACAUUUUCAUGAGAAAUA